GAGGGUAAAGCUCAAGUGGUAGAGUGCAUGCUCAAGGUCCUGGGUUCAAUUCCCAGUACCUCCU
rnacentral:tRNA from 1 species